UACGUAGGGUGCAGGCGUUAAUCGGAAUUACUGGGCGUAAAGCGUGCGCAGGCGGUUUCUUAAGUCAGAUGUGAAAGCCCCGGGCUUAACCUGGGAAUGGCAUUUGGGACUGCAAGGCUCGAGUGCGGCAGAGGAGACUGGAAUUCCUGGUGUAGCAGUGAAAUGCGUAGAUAUCAGGAGGAACACCGAUGGCGAAGGCAGGUCUCUGGGCUGACACUGACGCUCAUGCACGAAAGCGUGGGGAGCAAACAGG
rnacentral:rRNA from 1 species